UCCAGACGGUGCGAUUGUUCCAGAGUCAAUACCAUGAGCCACAAUUCCCAAGCCUUCUUGCCCGCCAAUGCCGGGCUUCCUCCAAGCUAUGAGACAAUCAAAGAGGAGUACGGGGUGACUGAGCUGGGGGAACCCAACAACUCAGCUGUCGUGAGGACCACCGUGAUCAACAUGCCCAGAGAGGUCUCUGUGCCUGACCAUGUGGUCUGGUCCCUGUUCAAUACGCUCUUCUUCAAUGCCUGCUGCCUGGGCUUCAUUGCCUAUGCCUACUCUGUGAAGCUCACCUCAUGAGGAAGACAUGGCAGGACAGAAGGCAGACAGAAGGCAAAGAGGCCUGUGAGGGCUGGACAGAUGGCCCAGCAAUUAAGAGCAUACGCUGCCCUGACAGAGGACCCAGGCUGAUUCCAAGCAUCCACUUCAGGUGACUCACCUACACUCCAGCUCUAGAAAUUCAACACUACUGGCCUCCGUGGGCACCUGCACUCAUGUGUACAUACACACACACCCUCGUAUAUAUAAUUAAAAAUAAUGAAAAU
rnacentral:lncRNA from 1 species